rnacentral:rRNA from 1 species
UACAGAGGGGGCAAGCGUUGUUCGGAAUUACUGGGCGUAAAGGGCGCGUAGGCGGCCUUCUAAGUCGAACGUGAAAUCCCCGGGCUCAACCCGGGAACUGCGUCCGAGACUGAAAGGCUUGAAUCCGGGAGAGGGAUGUGGAAUUCCAGGUGUAGCGGUGAAAUGCGUAGAUAUCUGGAGGACCCCCUGCGGUGUAGACGGCUUACUGGACCGCCACUGACGCUGAGGCACGAAAGCGUGGGUAGCAAACAGG